UCUGAUACUGGCAAGCUUGAGUCUCGUAGAGGGGGGUAGAAUUCCAGGUGUAGCGGUGAAAUGCGUAGAGAUCUGGAGGAAUACCGGUGGCGAAGGCGGCCCCCUGGACGAAGACUGACGCUCAGGUGCGAAAGCGUGGGGAGCAAACAGGAUUAGAUACCCUGGUAGUCCACGCCGUAAACGAUGUCGACUUGGAGGUUGUGCCCUUGAGGCGUGGCUUCCGGAGCUAACGCGUUAAGUCGACCGCCUGGGGAGUACGGCCGCAAGGUUAAAACUCAAAUGAAUUGACGGGGGCCCGCACAAGCGGUGGAGCAUGUGGUUUAAUUCGAUGCAACGCGAAGAACCUUACCUGGUCUUGACAUCCACAGAACUUUCCAGAGAUGGAUUGGUGCCUUCGGGAAC
rnacentral:rRNA from 1 species